rnacentral:rRNA from 1 species
AAUGAACGCUGGCGGCGUGCCUAACACAUGCAAGUCGGAUGUGCCGCAAGGUGCAUGGCAGACGGGUGAGUAACGCGUGGGGAACCUACCUCUUCGUGGGGAAUAACGAUCCGAAAGGAUUGGUAAUACCGCAUGAGACCGACGGCUGGGAUGCUGUCGGUGAAAGCUGGGGGACCGGAAACGGCCUGGCGCGAGGAGAGGGUCCUGCGUCUGAUUAGCUAGUUGGUGGGGUAACGGCCUACCAAGGCAUCGAUCAGUAGCCGGCCUGAGAGGGUGAUCGGCCACACUGGAACUGAGACACGGUCCAGACUCCUACGGGAGGCAGCAGUGGGGAAUUUUGCGCAAUGGACGAAAGUCUGACGCAGCAACGCCGCGUGGGUGAUGAAGGUCUUCGGAUUGUAAAACCCUGUCGUCGGGGACGAAGGUAGGGGGGUUAAGUAGCCUUUGCUUGACGGUACCCGGAGAGGAAGCCCCGGCGUAACUCUGUGCCAGCAGCCGCGGUAAU